rnacentral:rRNA from 1 species
UACGUAGGGGGCAAGCGUUGUUCGGAAUUACUGGGCGUAAAGAGCGUGUAGGCGGCUCGAUAAGUCUGCUGUGAAAGUCCAGGGCUCAACCCUGGAAGGCCGGUGGAAACUGUCGGGCUAGAGUCCGGAAGAGGCGAGUGGAAUUCCCGGUGUAGCGGUGAAAUGCGCAGAUAUCGGGAGGAACACCAAUGGCGAAGGCAGCUCGCUGGGACGGUACUGACGCUGAGACGCGAAAGCGUGGGGAGCAAACAGG